rnacentral:rRNA from 1 species
GCAGUGGGGAAUCUUGCGCAAUGGGCGAAAGCCUGACGCAGCCAUGCCGCGUGAAUGAUGAAGGUCUUAGGAUUGUAAAAUUCUUUCACCGGGGACGAUAAUGACGGUACCCGGAGAAGAAGCCCCGGCUAACUUCGUGCCAGCAGCCGCGGUAAUACGAAGGGGGCUAGCGUUGCUCGGAAUUACUGGGCGUAAAGGGAGCGUAGGCGGACAUUUAAGUCAGGGGUGAAAUCCCGGGGCUCAACCUCGGAAUUGCCUUUGAUACUGGGUGUCUUGAGUAUGAGAGAGGUAUGUGGAACUCCGAGUGUAGAGGUGAAAUUCGUAGAUAUUCGGAAGAACACCAGUGGCGAAGGCGACAUACUGGCUCAUUACUGACGCUGAGGCUCGAAAGCGUGGGGAGCAAACAGGAUUAGA